AGUGGGAUGGCUGAGAUAAAUAAGUAGGCGAUAGGCUGUAAAUCUAUUUAGGGGCUUUGUACGUUGGCCCUUCCACUA
rnacentral:tRNA from 3 species